UGGAAGGCGCUCAAGCAGGCUUUCCACUCGGAGCGGGAGAGGCGCCGCCGGGCAGAACUGUGCUCGGCUCUGCUGCCGCCACACUUCCGAGCCAUGAGGAGCAUCUGGAAGGCGGCGGGGCAGCCCGUGUCUGGCAAACGGAGGAUGCCAGUCGUGAGGAGGCUGUCGUCCAGAAGGCGAAGGUCAGCUCCUGCCCCACGCCCUCCAUCCUCACCAGAGCCACCAGAGCACGACGUUGGCAGGGACACCCCCAGCAUGCUGCCGUCACCGAUGCUGCAGCGUGCCAAUGACGAGCCAGAGAGCUUUCCUGGCUCUUCGCUGGCCCAGUAACAUCAUAAAGCUUCAGCAGCUGGUGGGAAACACGUUGCUGGAGCGCCACCCACAGCCCGUGCCAUGCCACACACCUGUUGCUGCGUCUCUUCCCUCUCCCUCCUGGGUGAGUACCAUGCCCCAGCUACCAUGCUUGUGUGCCCUGGUGCAAGAGGUGGCUGCAGCUCACAGGCUGGGUCUGCUCUCCUUCCAGGCUGUCACACUGACCUGAUGCAGAAAGGAGGUAAGGGAAAGGCCAGUAAGUGUCUCCAGCUUUGAGUGAAUCCUCAUGCUCCAGGACACUGCUCCAUCCUGUCCUGCCAGUGAGAAGGGCACGGGCUCCCAGAGGCAGUGCCUUCCCAGGGCUCUGUGUCAUAGUCAGGCUAAAUUUGGGUGUCUCCAUCACUCUUGCUGUUCGCUCCAUGCCAGGCUUUCAUGACAGGUUUUCCUGGUGAGACGUCCCUGGGGAUGGGAAGAGGAAACCAAGUGCUGCCACUGGCUGCUGCAGCCACAGGCUCCCACGAGACAGCAGCCACAAGUGAGCAGCCAGCAGCAGGUGAAGAUGCAUCAGACACAAGCCUGCAUGGUGGGUGCUCCCUGCAGCUCCACGACAGCCUCACAGGGAGCUCUCGGAGCCAUGGUGAGGUGCCACUGACCCCUCUCACACUGCAGAUCCUCGCGUGAAAGGCUUGGUCCUGAGUCUCCAGCGUCAAGUGGUGCAUGUCCUGCACACAUUCUGUCAGCAGCAGAAGGCAUAUCUGGAGAACGUCUUCCACAACCUCGGGCAGGUGAGUGAGACCCUGCACCAGCUCCUGCUCCAGCGACAGACCCAUCCUGUGGCUGGAUGUGUCUGUGGCCACUGUGUCCCCCAUGUGCUCCUUUCUAAGGGUGAGUCUGGAGUGCCCUGCUGCCCUGGUGCUCCUCACACUUCCUCGGAUCCCAAAGAGAACCCUCAGCUGUCCUCUGAUGGCAGGUGCGCCCCCGCCUGAGUGCCACCAUCGCUGGCCCUAGGAGCAACAGCUUUGCUACAGAGCCAUGGCACAUAUCUUUAUAUCAGAGGUUCCAGAUAUUUUUAGAGUUUAUACUAGAGAGAAGUUAAUAAAAUUAAAAAUAGCUUUUCUACCA
rnacentral:lncRNA from 1 species